CGAUCUCCUUCUUCUCCCGCACGACCUCCUCCUCCUCCUCCCACAGCCGCGCCGUUCGCCUCCCGCAGCCGCGCCCUUCACCGCCUCCUCGCGCCGCCGGAGCCACGGGAAGCGCCCGCGGGUCGCCGGGAGCCUCCCUAGCCGCGGGAGCCCGCCCCCGCUGCGGGUCGCCGGGAGCCUCCCCUGCCGCCCCCUUCGCCGCCUCCCCAGCCGCAGCUUGGCCGCCGCCACACCGCCUCCGCCACGCCGCCACUCCGCGGGCCACGCCUCGAUUCCUUCAUCCUCUUCCCGAGCCGCUGGCGUCCGUCACGCGCCCCCUACUCUUCUCCUCCAACCUGGCCAGUCCCAACACCCGGAGCCCCUGCGGAUCGAGGCGUCUUCCACGCAGAGGACGACGCGGGGAACCUCCAUUGCCCUCCAUUCUGACGGCCGCCCUACAGUGGCCCUGACACGAUGGUUCCCUCUAUUGUUCUGAUCGAGCGACGUGUUCAUUUUUUAUAUUUUUUCUGUGGCAGAUCAUGACGACGACCCUGACAGGAGAGGAGGAGGAGGACACGGAGAAGAAGGACCGAGAGUUAGACAUGGAUGUGCACUAUGAGGCAACACGCCGCCGUGUUUGCCCCGCCAUCUUCUGAUCUCUUCAGCAUUCCUGCUGUCUUGGGUUUUCUCUACACACGCAGUGUUUAGAACGAUGCCCGCUUCAGAGUUUCAGUUCAACUCACCCAGACAGAAAAUACAUUCUAUCACUGGCUAAGCAUAGUACGAACUGGGUGGACAUGGAGUCAAGGACAUGGAACAAGGUGGCGAAAAAAUAAGUUGUUGUGGAAGCAAUGGUUUGUUUGGGGAGGUGGAGAACGUUUUUAUGUUAUUUUUGCUAAGUCAGAACUCGGAGUCGGGACAACUCAACAAGGGAACGAGGAGCCUCAAGGGAGAUACCUGCAUAACACUGGAUGCAGUGAAGAAGGAAUCAGAAAUGUUCUUAUGUUUUAGUGGCGGAAUGGCAAGGCGUCCGGUUAGAUGACCUGGGUCCGUGGCGAGUUGGUGGCUCUCGACUACAAGAAGAUCAUUGAGGCAAUCGAUAGUAGAUUUCAACAAGAAUCUAUAAAGGGCUCUAAGGGAGUAGAGGAAUCAAAAGAAAACACCUGACAGUGCAAAGUGCACUUAGGCAGUAAGGUCAACACAAGACUACUCAUGAAACGCCUCCAUCAGGAGGCCAAAAUAUACACAUACGAACUCCCGGACAUUGCAUACCGGGGAGCUUUCUUCUAUUUAGGAUUUAAGGCUGAUAAUAUGCUCACGAAAAGACAGGAAUGCAGCACCACUCCAAUCUUUAGAAGGUCCCCACCCUGUUCUGUGAUGAAUGUGGAUAAAGACGAAGCAGAGAACAUAAUAUCUUGGUGAAGGCAUCUCAACCGAGAUGAGACAUUGUUUAUUUAUUUAUGUCAUAUCCUACUCAUAGUCUGUUGUUCUGUGAGCAAUUGUUUGUUUUUUAACAGCUUACCAUUGAUAAUGAAUCGUGUAUGGUGGCUUUGUUAAUAUUCAAGUAGUAUUACAUAUUAGUAAUA